rnacentral:rRNA from 1 species
CGGGCGGAGUGCCGGUCUAAGUUCCUUGGAACGGGGCGUCAUAGAGGGUGAGAAUCCCGUAUGCGACCGGCGUCCGAGCCCAUGUGAAACCCCUUCGACGAGUCGAGUUGUUUGGGAAUGCAGCUCAAAACGGGUGGUAAAUUUCAUCUAAAGCUAAAUACCGGCCAGAGACCGAUAGCGCACAAGUAGAGUGAUCGAAAGAUGAAAAGCACUUUGGAAAGAGAGUCAAAAAGUACGUGAAAUUGUUGAAAGGGAAGCGCUUGCGACCAGACCUGCCCGCGGGUGAUCAGCCGUCCUUCUGGGCGGUGCACUCGCCCGCGAUCAGGCCAGCAUCGGUUCGGGCGGUCGGAUAAAGGCCUUGGGAACGUAGCUCCCCUCGGGGAGUGUUAUAGCCCUCGGUGCAAUGCGGCCUGCCCGGACCGAGGACCGCGCUUCGGCUAGGAUGCUGGCGUAAUGGUCGUAAGCGGCCCGUCUUGAAACACGGACCAAGGAGUCGACCAACUAUGCGAGUGUUUGGGCGUCAAACCCACACGCGCAAUGAAAGUGAACGGAGGUGGGAACCCCUCGCGGGGCGCACCAUCGACCGAUCCAGAUGUCUUCGGAUGGAUUUGAGUACGAGCAUAGCUGGUCGGACCCGAAAGAUGAUGAACUAUGCCUGAAUAGGGUGAAGCCAGAGGAAACUCUGGUGGAGGCUCGCAGCGGUUCUGACGUGCAAAUCGAUCGUCAAAUUUGGGCAUAGGGGCGAAAGACUAAUCGAAUCAUC